rnacentral:rRNA from 1 species
CUUAGAGUUUGAUCCUGGCUCAGGAUGAACGCUAGCUACAGGCUUAACACAUGCAAGUCGAGGGGAAACGACAUCGAAAGCUUGCUUUUGAUGGGCGUCGGCCGGCGCACGGGUGAGUAACGCGUAUCCAACCUGCCCACCACUUGGGGAUAACCUUGCGAAAGUAAGACUAAUACCCAAUGACGUCUCUAGAAGACAUCUGAAAGAGAUUAAAGAUUUAUCGGUGAUGGAUGGGGAUGCGUCUGAUUAGCUUGUUGGCGGGGUAACGGCCCACCAAGGCAACGAUCAGUAGGGGUUCUGAGAGGAAGGUCCCCCACAUUGGAACUGAGACACGGUCCAAACUCCUACGGGAGGCAGCAGUGAGGAAUAUUGGUCAAUGGGCGAGAGCCUGAACCAGCCAAGUAGCGUGCAGGAUGACGGCCCUAUGGGUUGUAAACUGCUUUUAUAAGGGAAUAAAGUGAGUCUCGUGAGACUUUUUGCAUGUACCUUAUGAAUAAGGACCGGCUAAUUCCGUGCCAGCAGCCGCGGUAAUACGGAAGGUCCGGGCGUUAUCCGGAUUUAUUGGGUUUAAAGGGAGCGUAGGCCGGAGAUUAAGCGUGUUGUGAAAUGUAGACGCUCAACGUCUGCACUGCAGCGCGAACUGGUUUCCUUGAGUACGCACAAAGUGGGCGGAAUUCGUGGUGUAGCGGUGAAAUGCUUAGAUAUCACGAAGAACUCCGAUUGCGAAGGCAGCUCACUGGAGCGCAACUGACGCUGAAGCUCGAAAGUGCGGGUAUCGAACAGGAUUAGAUACCCUGGUAGUCCGCACGGUAAACGAUGGAUGCCCGCUGUUGGUCUGAAUAGGUCAGCGGCCAAGCGAAAGCAUUAAGCAUCCCACCUGGGGAGUACGCCGGCAACGGUGAAACUCAAAGGAAUUGACGG